UGAGUAAUGAUGAAUGGCUUGAUAUGUUCAACUGCUCUGAAGUGUGAAUGACAGCAGCCUUACUGAACCUUU
ensembl:snoRNA